AGCAGCCGCGGUAAUUCCAGCUCCAAUAGCGUAUAUUAAAGUUGUUGCAGUUAAAAAGCUCGUAGUUGAAUUUCGGGAUCAGUGGGUCGGUCGUGCCACUGGUAUGCACUGGCCCUACUGGUUCCUCCUUCUUGAAGAACUGUAAUGCCAUUAAUUUGGUGUUGCAGGGAAACAGGACUGUUACUUUGAAAAAAUUAGAGUGUUUAAAGCAGGCAAUCGCUUGAAUACAUUAGCAUGGAAUAAUGAAAUAGGACGAUCGAUCCUAUUUUGUUGGUUUCUAGGAUUGACGUAAUGAUUAAUAGGGAUAGUUGGGGGCAUUAGUAUUCAAUUGUCAGAGGUGAAAUUCUUGGAUUUAUUGAAGACUAACUACUGCGAAAGCAUUUGCCAAGGAUGUUUUCAUUAAUCAAGAACGAAAGUUAAGGGGAUCGAAGACGAUCAGAUACCGUCGUA
rnacentral:rRNA from 1 species